rnacentral:rRNA from 1 species
UCUACGGGAGGCAGCAGUGAGGAAUAUUGGUCAAUGGGCGCGAGCCUGAACCAGCCAAGUAGCGUGAAGGAUGACUGCCCUACGGGUUGUAAACUUCUUUUAUAAAGGAAUAAAGUGAGGCACGUGUGCCUUUUUGUAUGUACUUUAUGAAUAAGGAUCGGCUAACUCCGUGCCAGACGCCGCGGUAAUACGGAGGAUCCGAGCGUUAUCCGUAUUUAUUGGGUUUAAAGGGAGCGUAGAUGGGUUGUUAAGUCAGUUGUGAAAGUUUGCGGCUCAACCGUAAAAUUGCAAUUGAUACUGGCAGUCUUGAGUACAGUUGAGGUAGGCGGAAUUCGUGGUGUAGCGGUGAAAUGCUUAGAUAUCACGAAGAACUCCGAUUGCGAAGGCAGCUUACUAAACUGCCACUGACAUUGAUGCUCGAAAGUGUGGGUAUCAAACAGGAUUAGAUACCCGAGUAGUC